rnacentral:tRNA from 1 species
GGGUGUAUAGCUCAGCUGGGAGAGCGCAUCGCUGGCAGCGAUGAGGUCAGGGGUUCGAUCCCCCUAGGCUCC